GGAAGGCCUCUCUUUCCUGAUAAGGACUCAGCCAAUGAAAAGUCACGAACUCUUUAACCAGCCCAACUUCCGUUUCCUCCCUAUAAAAGCAUUUUUCUUCUGUUGAGGUGCAGGGACUUGACUUGAUGCAGCUGGCCAUGGUUGCAGAUCUCAAGUUAUGGUUAGUUCUCUGCUCGUCCUAACUAAACCCAUCUUGGCUGGAGCAGUAUCUGCAAGUUUGUUUCAGGUCAACAAGAGCCAAAAAACCCAAGCUUUGAAAAAAGUACAUAAUGGAUAACAGUGGCCUGUGUAGCAGAGAGACACUGGUGAACUUGAGAAAGCUGGAGGAUCCUCCUUUCUUAGGCAGCCACACCUGCAAACCCAGACUGCAGCCCACCAGGCUUCUCCAUCCAUGGGAUUUUCCAGACAAGAAUACUGGAGUGAGUUGCCAUUUUCUUUUCCAGGGGAUCUUCCUGACCUAAGGGUUGAACAGAUGUCUCCUGCAUUGACAGGCAAAUUAA
ensembl:lncRNA